rnacentral:rRNA from 1 species
UACAGAGGGUGCAAGCGUUGUCCGGAAUCACUGGGCGUAAAGGGCGCGUAGGCGGCCUGAUAAGUCAGGGGUGAAAUCCUGGAGCUCAACUCCAGAACUGCCUUUGAUACUGAAGAUCUUGAGUUCGGGAGAGGUGAGUGGAACUGCGAGUGUAGAGGUGAAAUUCGUAGAUAUUCGCAAGAACACCAGUGGCGAAGGCGGCUCACUGGCCCGGUACUGACGCUGAGGUGCGAAAGCGUGGGGAGCAAACAGG